ensembl:lncRNA
CUCUAACAGUUUUUAAACGAAUACUGGAACAAUUUUUCUAAAAUAAGAAAAGGUUAUAAAGGAAAUAAUGUAACUUGGAAAGUAUAUCCCCUUUAUCUGUCAAAUCUCCAUCCUCUACAUUGUAUUUGAGUAAUGAAAAAUGAUGUUAAGAUAGAUUCUCUUAUGGCUCCUAAAAUCACAUUCCUAUCUCCUAUAAACUGUGCAUAGUAAGUAGCCAUGCCCCAAGUGUGGUCAGAGAGCGUGUCAGACUGACGGAACCGUCCCCCUUCGGCCAGAGUGCAUAAAAGGACUGGUAUGGAAAUUAACAUUACACCAGAAAGGCGUUUGAAAUGGUUGGCACUUUUAACCUCAACACGAGGUGAAGAAAAUAAACCCACCUCCCAGACCAGAGAGGCAUGUAGAGUUGCAGCUCAUGUCCAGAGGGGUUUGAACCUUGAAUAUCAACAUGAGGAAGCAGCGAAAAGCUCACCUUCAGACAAUCACUGGUAUGGCUGAUUAUCUAGAAAAUCUCAUUUAAGUGGGACCAUCCUACUACUCUUCUCAAAUUACGGUAUUCUACUACUCUCAUCACCAAUAGGAACCGUCGACACGGCUGGCUGGCUAUCUUCCAAGGAGCAUCUUCCUGAGUGAACAACAGUAGCAGGCGGGAAAGGGGAGACCCAUUUUGGACAAUCAGAGCCACACAAGCGUGCCGCUGAAAGGCCAACAACCUUCCUAAGUAGGGCUGGUUCCAACAGCGAUAAAUGCCACCAUAUUGUGUCAGUCUGCUAGGAACCUUUUUCUCAUGUAUUAAGUGUGUAUGUUUAUUCUGUGUUAUUAUUUAGUUAGCUAGAAAAUAAAUAAUUAAACCAA